rnacentral:rRNA from 1 species
UACGUAGGGUGCAAGCGUUUAAUCGGAAUUACUGGGCGUAAAGCGUGCGCAGGCGGUGAUGUAAGACAGAUGUGAAAUCCCCCGGGCUCAACCUGGGGAACUGCAUUUGUGACUGCAUCGCUGGAGUGCGGCAGAGGGGGAUGGAAUUCCGCGUGUAGCAGUGAAAUGCGUAGAUAUGCGGAGGAACACCGAUGGCGAAGGCAAUCCCCUGGGCCUGCACUGACGGCUCAUGCACGAAAGCGUGGGGAGCGAACAGG